AGUGGCGCACGGGUGAGUAACACGUGACUAACCUACCCUCGAGUGGGGAAUAACCUCGGGAAACCGGGGCUAACACCGCAUAACAUCUACGGAUCAAAUGCGCAAGCAGCUUGAGGAGGGGGUCGCGGCUGAUUAGCUAGUUGGCGGGGUAAUGGCCCACCAAGGCAGUGAUCAGUAGCCGGCCUGAGAGGGCGCACGGCCACACUGGAACUGAAACACGGUCCAGACUCCUACGGGAGGCAGCAGUGGGGAAUUUUGCGCAAUGGGGGAAACCCUGACGCAGCAACGCCGCGUGGAGGAUGAAGCCCCUUGGGGUGUAAACUCCUUUCGAUCGGGACGAUUAUGACGGUACCGGAUGAAGAAGCACCGGCUAACUCUGUGCCAGCAGCCGCGGUAAUACAGAGGGUGCAAGCGUUGUUCGGAAUUAUUGGGCGUAAAGGGUGCGUAGGCGGUGCGGUAAGUCUUCUGUGAAAUCUCCGGGCUUAACUCGGAGUCUGCAGGGGA
rnacentral:rRNA from 1 species